rnacentral:rRNA from 1 species
GACGAACGCUGGCGGCGUGCCUAAUACAUGCCAGUAGAACGCUGAAGGAGGAGCUUGCUUCUCUGGAUGAGUUGCGAACGGGUGAGUAACGCGUAGGUAACCUGCCUGGUAGCGGGGGAUAACUAUUGGAAACGAUAGCUAAUACCGCAUAAUAGUAGAUGUUGCAUGACAUUUGCUUAAAAGGUGCAAUUGCAUCACUACCAGAUGGACCUGCGUUGUAUUAGCUAGUUGGUGAGGUAACGGCUCACCAAGGCAACGAUACAUAGCCGACCUGAGAGGGUGAUCGGCCACACUGGGACUGAGACACGGCCCAGACUCCUACGGGAGGCAGCAGUAGGGAAUCUUCGGCAAUGGACGGAAGUCUGACCGAGCAACGCCGCGUGAGUGAAGAAGGUUUUCGGAUCGUAAAGCUCUGUUGUAAGAGAAGAACGAGUGUGAGAGUGGAAAGUUCACACUGUGACGGUAUCUUACCAGAAAGGGACGGCUAACUACGUG